GUCUACCGCGCCUCUCGCGAGCGGUAGUGUCUGGCAGAGCUCGGCUCCUGCCCAGCGCGGCGGCGACGGGGCUCUCGCUGCUCAGGACGGGGAGAAACGCCCUCUGCCCUGGCGGUUCCUGUGCUGCCUCUUCGCCUAGCAGAGCAGGUCAAGCCAUGCUUCAUUCGCCUUGCCUGUGGGGCUGACCAGCUUUGUGUGUCCUACCACACAGAAGAUGUGAUUCAUCCUGUUGUGGAAAGGGUGACUUGGCCCCACAGCAUGAACCUCUUUAAGCACGAAUAAGGAAGUAGUGGCAUGAUACCAGCAAGGACCCCCAACUUAUUCUGGGCAAUAAGCAAAAGAACAAGCCAAAGAUCUGCAUACUAACUUGAAGCUGAAAGAAGAAAGACUAAUGUGAUUUUCUUCUUACCAAGAAAGGAACGGCUCUUUUAAUCUUGAUAUAAAUACUUUCUUUAAUUACAAAUACAACUGUAACUAGCAAUUCAAUCUUUGUAAGUACCAUCUUUGAGACAAAUACAUUUGCUCUGUACCAACA